rnacentral:tRNA from 1 species
UUGGAGUUGAGAAGUGUAGACAGUGAUUGUAAUUUUAAGAAAUAAAUUUUCCACCACCGGUCUUGAAAACCGGCGAGGGUUAUACCUCCCAGAGUUCGAAUCUCUGAGGGUCCACCA